rnacentral:lncRNA from 1 species
AAUUGGUGUGUUGACUAGUGUUGUAAAUAUUCAGAUGUCUAAACUGAAGACAAUAGCCUUUAAUUUUGGCUUCACCUUUUCAUAUUGGUCUUGACUUAGAUUAAUGGAAACACAGAACAGUUGGGGUUGGAAGGAACCUUCAAAGAACAUUUAGUGCAGCCACUCUGCCAUGAGCAGCUUUGUCAGCUUGAUCAAAAUACUGUCACUUGAUCAGCUUGCUCAAAAUACUGUCCAGCCUGACUUUGAACACUUCCAAUAAUGGGGCAUCCCAACAACUUCUAUUCAACUGUCUUCAGAGACUGCUUCCAAUUUACCUUAUUGUGUGAUUCUGUUUCUACACAGUGUACUGAUGAGAGCAUGGACAGCUUGUUGAGCUGUUCCCUCUACCUACCUGCCCUGCUGUCUGCCUCUGCAAGGUGCUGCUUUGUGGUGUAUUUAUUGCUCAUCCAGAAGAUCCACUUUCAUUUUUAGAGGAAAAACUGAGAGAAAUAAUGGCAAAGGGAUUAGAUACUUUCUUAUGAUACAUACUGAAUUACUCUGUCUGUGUGUGUGCUAUGUGGUUUAUAAUAUUGCACUUGGACUUUUAAAAUAUGCUAAUGGUACAGUAUCUUCUAUGUAGACUGCAAUUUAAAUGAUAAUAUUGCUUUUUGCAAAUAUUGAUGGCAUAUGAUAUUGCAAAAGCAGUAAGACUCUAAUAUCUCUAAAAACAGAAAAUGUAUUUUAUUUUUUUAUCCAUGGGUUUGGGGGCAGUUGGGUGUUUUGUUUUGUUUUUUGUGUGUAUGUUUUUUUGUCUAUAGAAUAUUUAAUUAAUAUAGCCUCCACUUAAUACUCCUCUUUGUUUAGUUGAUACAUUAAAGCCUUACUUUUGUGGCAAUCAAAACUGAGGUGAUGUUAAGGGUUUUAACUUCAUUGCUGACCACAGCACAUUUACCUAUAUGAGCCAGGGAUGUGUCUUUCAAGCACUGCAUCAUUAAGUGAGGUAUUUCUCAAUUUUUCUGUUCUUUCACCUUGUGAAAUGAAGACAGCACAGCAUGAGAUAAAAAAAAAAAAACCCCAAGGAUUUAGUUUUGUUUACACUGAAAUCAUAUAAAAUAAUGUGAUAUUUCUUGCUUUAAUAUUCUCUGCAAUUUUCUGGUUGAAGUUUUCAGUGGGAUGUGAGUAAUAAAUCCUUAAUCUUUGGAUCCA